CUCUAAUAUUCCAAGAUGUAGGACGGCAAAGCGACGACGACUGGGCAAAACAAAUUCAUUCGAAACAAUCGUUAUGAAUUUAAAACAGCUUGACGAGAUCAAAACAGAGGCUUUCUAUUGAGUAGAAUUCCACAUUUAGGCCCACAAUAGUACUGAACCAAUUUGCUGGGUGUCCACUUCUUACGUACUAUAAUGCAAACGUUG